rnacentral:rRNA from 1 species
CGAAUCUUCCGCAAUGCGCGAAAGCGUGACGGAGCAAUGCCGCGUGUAGGAUGAAGCCCCUCGGGGUGUAAACUACUGUCAGGUCUUAGGAACACAAUGACCAGGACCAAAGGAAGGGCCGGCUAACUUCGUGCCAGCAGCCGCGGUAAUACGAAGGGCCCGAGCGUUGAUCGGAUUCACUGGGCUUAAAGGGUGCGUAGGCGGAACGGUAAGUAUCUCGUGAAAUCCCACGGCUCAACCGUGGAACCGCGGGGUAUACUGUCGUUCUUGAGGUCGGUAGGGGCUGUCGGAACUGUAGGUGUAGCGGUGAAAUGCGUAGAUAUCUACAGGAACGCCAAUGGCGAAGGCAGACAGCUGGGCCGAUUCUGACGCUGAGGCACGAAAGCGUGGGGAGCAAAC